CACGGAGUUAGCCGAUCCUUAUUCCUUCGGUACAUUCAGCUCAAUACACGUAAUGAGGUUUAUUCCCGAAUAAAAGCAGUUUACGACCCAGAGGGCUGUCUUCCUGCACGCGGCAUGGCUGGUUCAGAGUUGCCUCCAUUGACCAAUAUUCCUUACUGCUGCCUCCCGUAGGAGUCUGGUCCGUGUCUCAGUACCAGUGUGGGGGGUCAUCCUCUCAGAUCCCCUAGACAUCGUGGUCUUGGUGGGCCGUUACCCCGCCAACUAACUAAUGUCACGCAUGCCCAUCUUAAUCCUAUAAAUAUUUGAUCAUUGUACAAUGCUGUACUGUGAUUUUAUGCGGUGUUAAUCCGAAUUUCUUCGGGCUAUCCCCCUGAUUAAGGUAGGUUGCAUACGCGUUACGCACCCGUGCGCCACUUUCGAAGAAUGCAAGCAUUCUUCUAUCGUUCGACUUGCAUGUAUUAGGCCUGCCGCUAGCGUUCAUCCUGAGCCAGGUA
rnacentral:rRNA from 1 species